rnacentral:SRP_RNA from 1 species
UCGGGAGUGUGGGAGUGUUUCACGGCACUCUGUAAGCCAAGUGGCCGGUUGGGUUUGGGAUGCUAUCAGUUGGUAGGCUAUUGCAACAAGUAGGUACAGAGCCGCCCCUAGAAUGGCGGUGUUUCCAUUAGCUCACAGGGGUAGCCCUAUGGGUGGAGGGAAUUGAAUAUAGGGAGACUGUCCCAAGCGGGCAACCGAACAGGCGAGCAUCUCAGCAUCGCUACGUCUCAGGGAUAACGGCUCGUGCGUUGUAUUGCACACUGGUAGUGGACCAGGCUCAUU